rnacentral:lncRNA from 1 species
CCCAGCCAUGCUUCCUGUACAGCCUGCAUAACUAUGGAAAUUAUAAUACCUGUCUGAGAUCACAAGCAAUCUGAUCGAUCCAGAAUUCCUAUUUGCAACAUGUAUUAUCUUCCGACAGAAAAUGAUCCUGGCUUGAUGAAGUCAGUGCAGUGACUUACCACUUAUGUCUUAGCUAAAGAGUUGUGACCAUAGAUGUGGAGGCUUAAAUACUUGUUCUCAGUUUUCAAGUCUUCCUUCUUCCAGCUGAAAUUCUCAUCAAAAUAAUGUUUAUGCCACACACUUUCUCCCAAAUAUUACUUCAUUAAUUUAGCCAUGUGAUCAGGGUAUCCUUAAAUUAAUGAAGAAUAACUAUAAAAAAACUUUGUUGAAAAGCUUGCUAACAGGAAUGAACAGAGAUGUGGGUGUGGAAAGUUUUCAAAAGUACUUUAGCAUGAAGGAUGCUGUAUGUAUGCUGUUGUCAACACUUGGAACACAGUGACUAAAGUUGCCCAUGCCUGGCACAACCUAUGGCCCGCGAGCAUGUUCCAUAGUGAUGAUGCACAGAGUGGUGACUUUGAAAGAUUGGGUAUGUCACGUGAGAAAAAAUAUAUAUGUACCGUCAGAGUCCAUCUGUAAGCUGAAAGAAGUGGAUAUGGAAGACAUUUUUAACAUCGAUAAUGAUGCUCCAGUUGUUCUUUCAUUGGCCAAUGGUAAAAUAGUUAAAAUGGUUCUGAAUCAAGGUGAUGUUGAAAAUAAUGAUGAUGAAGAUGACAUUGUUAACACUGCAGAAAAAGUGCCUAUAGAUGACAUGGUGAAAAUGUGAUGCACAUAUUGAAGGACUAGAACAGCAUGUAUUCAUAACAGAAAAAGAAAUCAUUAUAGUUUAUAAAAUCAAACUGAGAGUUCUAAGACAAAAGCUAUUGUUAAUGAGGCAGAUGAAUCUGGAAGAAACAUUUAAAAAUAACAAUUGAUACAGGUAUUCUGAUAAUGCUACUCUGCUGCUUAGUUACUCUGAACACAUUAAUUUUUCACUGUAUCAAUGGAAUUUCAUAUUUUGUAAUGUUAAGUACUUAUAUGUAACUAAGUAUAAGAAAAUGAUUGCUUAUUGGUAGGAUAUAAAUUCAGAGUCAGGAAUGACGUUGAUGUCAAGCAACCAGAUUGUCCACAGGGUUGUCUAAAAUAGUGACACCUUUGCUUCCUGAUGGUUCAAUGCACACAAACUUUUUUCCUGCACAAAAUUAUUUGAAACAUUGUAUAAAAUAAUCUUUAGUCUAUGUAUAUAAGGUGUAUGUGAAACAUAAAUAUAUGUUUUUAUUUAGACUUGGGUCCCAUUUCCAAGAUAUUUCACUAUGUAUAUACAAAGAUUUCAAAAUCUGAGGAAAAAAAAGCUGAAAUCUGAAACACUUUUGGUUCCAAGCUUUCAGAUAAGGGACACUCGACGUGUAUACUAUUAUGGGAAGAGCGUAUAUGUUUGUUCUCUUGAUGUUGCCCUUAGACAUCUGAUUUGUAUUGAUCAGUAGAUUAGAUGUGAAGAACAGAGGUCUUAAAUGUGCUUAAACAUUGUGUCCUUCAAGCUUGUGAUCCUCUAGGAGAAGAGCAUGCUCAAACAUAACUUUGGCCUUUUCAGCCAGUGUUCCGAAACAGACAUAAAUGGAGAGAGACCUGAACCAUUCCUACAAUCUGGAUUUAAGUCUAGACAACAUAAAGCCUGAGGCACAGCCACCAGUUUCCAUGAACAUGGGAAUAAUGCUGAUGUAACCUACUGAAUUAUGAGAUAUUUUGUCAACAGCAGUGUGGUGGAAAUAGCUGAUGAAUAGAGUCUACAUAUACUUCAGAAGCAAACAAAUAAUUUUAAUUCAUGCACCUGGAUAGUCAUGGUUUGUAUACAUGACAGUCAUUGAAUGUCUGUCAAGAGAAUAAGGGGUAUUUGUACAUUAUGAACAUAAAAAUGUUGACACUAUCAUUAGUAAAUAAGAAGACAUGCAAUACUGUUAAUGUGUUAUAUAUUACAAUGUCAUUUAUGUAAAUAGAUGUAAUUUUAUACACAUUGUAUUAGUCAACACUAUCCAAAGGAACAGAGCCAAUAUUGUUUGUGUUUGUGUGUGUGUGUGUGUGUGAGAGAGAUGUAUACACAAAAUCUCUCUCUCCCACUCUCUCUCUACAGAAAGAAGGUGAGAUAAAGAGAUUUUAAGAAGUUGAGUCACAAUUAUGGGGUCUGUCACAUCAAAAAUCCACAGAGCCGAAAAUCCAUAUAAUUAAUCAUCACAAUAUAUAUACAUAAGCAUAUAUUUGCUCUAUGCUAUACUCUGGAAUACAUUUUCUUUCUCCUGUGGUGUUAUUCCCUAUGGCCCUGGAUCACUAUUUAGAUGUUUAAAAAAGAUUGUUUAUUGCCCUGGCCUGAACUUUGGGGAAAGAUUUUGGGAGAAGGAGGUCUUUUCUUUCAAUUCUGUCACUUUCUAUAUAUUUUUUAAUUUCCUAUCCAAGUGCAUGUCAGAAAUUACCAAGGGCAUUUACUGUUUUAUGAUGAUUCAAAAUAGAAUUCUUGACCAGGAGUAGUGGCUUGUACCUGUAAUCCUAGCAUUUUGGGAGGCCACUGCAGGAGGAGAUUGCUUAAGACCAGGAGU